rnacentral:rRNA from 1 species
GACGAACGCUGGCGGCGUGCCUAAUACAUGCAAGUAGAACGCUGAGGGAGGAGCUUGCUUCUCUGGAUGAGUUGCGAACGGGUGAGUAACGCGUAGGUAACCUGCCUGGUAGCGGGGGAUAACUAUUGGAAACGAUAGCUAAUACCGCAUAAGAGUAGAUGUUGCAUGACAUUUGCUUAAAAGGUGCAAUUGCAUCACUACCAGAUGGACCUGCGUUGUAUUAGCUAGUUGGUGGGGUAACGGCUCACCAAGGCGACGAUACAUAGCCGACCUGAGAGGGUGAUCGGCCACACUGGGACUGAGACACGGCCCAGACUCCUACGGGAGGCAGCAGUAGGGAAUCUUCGGCAAUGGACGGAAGUCUGACCGGGCAACGCCGCGUGAGUGAAGUAGGUUUUCGGAUCGUAAAGCUCUGUUGUAAGAGAAGAACGAGUGUGAGAGUGGAAAGUUCUCAAUGUGACGGUAUCUUACCAGAAAGAGACGGCUAACUACGUG